rnacentral:rRNA from 1 species
AUUGAACGCUGGCGGCAGGCUUAACACAUGCAAGUCGAGCGGAGAGAGGUAGCUUGCUACUGAUCUUAGCGGCGGACGGGUGAGUAAUGCUUAGGAAUCUGCCUAUUAGUGGGGGACAACAUCUCGAAAGGAAUGCUAAUACCGAAUACGUCCUACGGGAGAAAGCAGGGGAUCUUCGGACCUUGCGCUAAUAGAUUAGCCUAAGCCGGCUUAGCUAGUUGGUGGGGUAAAGGCCUACCAAGGCGACGGUCUGUAGCGGGUCUGAGAGGAUGAUCCGCCACACUGGGACGGGGACACGGCCCAGACUCCUACGGGAGGCAGCAGGGGGGAAUAUUGGACAAUGGGCGGAAGCCUGAUCCAGCCAUGCCGCGUGUGUGAAGAAGGCCUUAUGGUUGUAAAGCACUUUAAGCGAGGAGGAGGCUACUUUAGUUAAUACCUAGAGAUAGUGGACGUUACUCGCAGAAUAAGCACCGGCUAACUCUGUGCCAGCAGCCGCAGUAA